rnacentral:rRNA from 1 species
GUAAACGCGGGGCAAGGAGACGGUAUAAAGCAGAGGGGGAAAGAGUGAAUGGGAUUUACUGGGCGGAGAGCGCGCGUAGGUGGCUAAUUAAGUCAAAUGUGAAAUACCCGAGCUUAACUUGGGAAUUGCAUUCGAUACUGGUGAGCUAGAGUAUGGGAGAGGAUGGUAGAAGUCCAGGUGUAGCGGUGAAAUGCGUAGAGAUCUGGAGGAAUACCGAUGGCGAAGGCAGCCAUCUGGCCUAAUACUGACACUGAGGUGCGAAAGCAUGGGGAGCAAACAGGAUUAGAUACCCUGGUAGUC